rnacentral:rRNA from 1 species
GACGAACGCUGGCGGCGUGCUUAACACAUGCAAGUCGAACGGAAAGGCCCUGCUUUUGUGGGGUGCUCGAGUGGCGAACGGGUGAGUAACACGUGAGUAACCUGCCCUUGACUUUGGGAUAACUUCAGGAAACUGGGGCUAAUACCGGAUAGGAGCUCCUGCUGCAUGGUGGGGGUUGGAAAGUUUCGGCGGUUGGGGAUGGACUCGCGGCUUAUCAGCUUGUUGGUGGGGUAGUGGCUUACCAAGGCUUUGACGGGUAGCCGGCCUGAGAGGGUGACCGGCCACAUUGGGACUGAGAUACGGCCCAGACUCCUACGGGAGGCAGCAGUGGGGAAUAUUGCACAAUGGGCGGAAGCCUGAUGCAGCAACGCCGCGUGCUGGAUGACGGCCUUCGGGCUGUAAACCGCUUUCGCCUGUGACGAAGCGUGAGUGACGGUAAUGGGUAAAGAAGCACCGGCUAACUACGUG